rfam:Cucumis melo, WGS project CAJI01000000 data, contig: 20649
CGGAGUGAUGAAAAACAGGGGAGGCUGCACCAGACUGACCAGAAAAUGAGGUAGCAAAAGAUCGCCCAGUACCAUCUGGAA